UCAAGCAAAAAAUCGGCCCACGGCUGAAUGUAAUUGGGGAACCAUGACAUAGGAUGCGCAUUUAUACCAGAGCACGCUCCUCUUAGAGAAACACGCCAGCUCAAGAGUGGUCACCUGUGACAAUGGAGAAAACGUCCAGUUCCUGAUCUGUGAGUCUGGAGUGAUCUUCAUUGAGAGAUCUCUGUACGGAAGGACUAACGGAACCACCUGCAGAGAAGGACAACCUGCCAACCAGCUGACCAACAGUGUUCACAGACGGGCACCCUGGAGGUCCUCUGAGGUGCAAUGGGAAACAGGUGUGUGAAGUGAACACUGAAGUCUUCCGUACUUCUGACCCGUGUUGGAAUCUACAAAUACCUGGAAACCACCUACACCUAUGAAGGUACAAUCCAGAUCCACAGUGCCAGCUAUGGCCGCCGUGGCCAGCUAGUGUCUUCCUUUAAACGGCCUGCGAGCCAAUCCACAACUGUCUCAGCCAAUCCACAACUGUCUCAGCCAAUCCACAACUGUCUCAGCCAAUCCACAACUGUCUCAGCCAAUCCACAACUGUCUCAGCCAAUCCACAACUGUCUCAGCCAAUCCACAACUGUCUCAGCCAAUCCACAACUGUCUCAGCCAAUCCACAACUGUCUCAGCCAAUCCACAACUGUCUCAGCCAAUCCACAACUGUCUCAGCCAAUCCACAACUGUCUCAGCCAAUCCACAACUGUCUCAGCCAAUCCACAACUGUCUCAGCCAAUCCACAACUGCCAGUAAGAUGGCAGAGAGUUAUUGAAACCUGCAGUGUACUAUUUGAAACGCAUUACUGUUAACCUGUACUGUAGAAACAUGACAGUAGCGUUAACCUGUACUGUAGAAACGUGACUGUAGCGUUAACCUGUACUGUAGAAACGUCACUGUAGCGUUAACCUGUACCUAUCGUUGACACAGUUGUGAUGGGAAGAGCCAGUGUGACGUCCCGGUGUUCAACUCUCUGUAUGGAGAUAGGAAGGAACCUACAAGUACCUGGAUGUGGCUUACACCUGUGGCUAAACGUGAGGCACACACAUGACUGGGAAGUAGAAUGCUGGGGUUGACUGUUUUUGUCUUGCAGGAGAUAUUCUGAGGAAUGAAGGCCAGAUACUUCUGGGAUAUCUUCAUCGGGUGGAUCUGUCUUUCCUCUCCUCUUCCUCAUGAAUCUCAAAUUGAGUAAAAUGUAUGUAAUUUCCAUGUCAAGGUGUGUCAGUCACAUUGAUUAUUUUGGUAUAGGCAUAAUUUAUGGUCAACACUGUGUAGGAACGCUUUCUAAAAGCAAGGUGCGGUCAGAAGGACACAUGGAGAAAUAAAACAUGAA